rnacentral:tRNA from 1 species
GCGGAUAUGGCGGAACUGGCAGACGCGAAGGAUUUAGGAUCCUUUGGAUUUUCCGUACAGGUUCGAUCCCUGCUAUCCGCA